rnacentral:rRNA from 1 species
GAUGAACGCUGGCGGUAUGCCUAACACAUGCAAGUCGUACGAGAGUUUUUAACUCUAGUGGCGGACGGGUGAGUAACACGUGAGAAUUUGCCUUUAGGAGGGGGACAACAAUUGGAAACGAAUGCUAAUACCCCAUAUGCUUUCGAGUGAAAUGGAUUUUAUCCGCCUAGAGAGAAGCUCGCGGCUGAUUAGCUUGUUGGUAAGGUAAGAGCUUACCAAGGCGACGAUCAGUAUCUGGUUUGAGAGGACGAUCAGACACACUGGAACUGAGACACGGUCCAGACUCCUACGGGAGGCAGCAGUGGGGAAUUUUCCGCAAUGGGCGAAAGCCUGACGGAGCAAUACCGCGUGAGGGAAGAAUGCCUAUGGGUUGUAAACCUCUUUUUUCAGGGAGGAAUCAAAUGACGUGUACCUGAAGAAUAAGCAUCGGCAACUCCGUG